rnacentral:rRNA from 1 species
AGUGAACGCUGGCGGCAGGCCUAAUACAUGCAAGUCGAACGGCAGCACAGCAGAGCUUGCUCUGUGGGUGGCGAGUGGCGGACGGGUGAGGAAUACGUGGGAAUCUGCCCAGUCGUGGGGAUAACGUAGGGAAGCUUACGCUAAUACCGCAUGCGCCCUUCGGGGGAAAGCCGGGGACCUUCGGGCCUGGCGCGAUUGGAUGAGCCCACGUCGGAUUAGCUAGUUGGCGGGGUAAAGGCCCACCAAGGCGACGAUCCGUAGCUGGUCUGAGAGGAUGAUCAGCCACACUGGAACUGAGACACGGUCCAGACUCCUACGGGAGGCAGCAGUAGGGAAUAUUGGACAAUGGGCGCAAGCCUGAUCCAGCCAUGCCGCGUGAGUGAAGAAGGCCCUCGGGUUGUAAAAGCUCUUUUGUCCGGAAAGAAAAGCGCCGGGUUAAUACCCUGGUGUCCUGACGGUACCGGAAGAAUAAGCACCGGCUAACUUCGUGCCAGCAGCCGCGGUAAU